rnacentral:misc_RNA from 1 species
UUUCCGUAGGUGAACCUGCGGAAGGAUCAUUAUUGUAUAACCGAGGUGCGAGGGCUGUCGCUGACCCGAAAGGUCGUGCACGCCCGUGUGCCCUCACACACAUCCAUCUCACCCCUAUGUGCACCACCGCGUGGGUCCCCCUUUGGCUUGUUCGGAGGGGGGCUUACGUUUUCACACAAACUUUGUAUGCAGUGUAGAAUGUAUUUUUUGUUUUUGCGAUCACGCAAUCAAUGCAACUUUCAACAACGGAUCUCUUGGCUCUC